rnacentral:ncRNA from 2 species
AUUUAUCUCUUGGGGUGCCAUACAUCUGCUCAUCUAUCGAUGAGCUGUGUGGCUGAGAAGCUUUGCUAACCCAUUGAACCUGAACCAGAUAAUGCUGGCGUAGGAAUUGAGAUAGCGAGUCUUG